rfam:Picea glauca, whole genome shotgun sequence.
AUGUGAUAUAAUUCCUAUAAUGUUAAUGUACCAAAUCUCAUUAGAAAUAUGUAGUUAAGCGCGCUUGGGAUAGAGUAGUACUAGGAUGAGUGACCUCUCGAGAAGUCCUAGUGUUUUACAUG